UACGUAGGGUGCAAGCGUUGUCCGGAAUUAUUGGGCGUAAAGAGCUCGUAGGCGGCUCGGUAAGUCAGGUGUCAAAUCCUCAGGCUCAACCUGGGGCUCCACCUGAUACUGCUGUGGCUAGAGUCCGGUAGGGGAGCGUGGAAUUCCUGGUGUAGCGGUGAAAUGCGCAGAUAUCAGGAGGAACACCGGUGGCGAAGGCGGUUCUCUGGGCAUUACCUGACGCUGAGGAGCGAAAGCGUGGGGAGCGAACAGG
rnacentral:rRNA from 1 species